rnacentral:rRNA from 1 species
ACGAACGCUGGCGGCGUGCCUAAUACAUGCAAGUAGAACGCUGAAGGCGGAGCUUGCUUCUCUGGAUGAGUUGCGAACGGGUGAGUAACGCGUAGGUAACCUGCCUGGUAGCGGGGGAUAACUAUUGGAAACGAUAGCUAAUACCGCAUAAUAGCAGUUGUUGCAUGACAACUGUUUGAAAGGUGCAAUUGCACCACUACCAGAUGGACCUGCGUUGUAUUAGCUAGUUGGUGGGGUAACGGCUCACCAAGGCGACGAUACAUAGCCGACCUGAGAGGGUGAUCGGCCACACUGGGACUGAGACACGGCCCAGACUCCUACGGGAGGCAGCAGUAGGGAAUCUUCGGCAAUGGACGGAAGUCUGACCGAGCAACGCCGCGUGAGUGAAGAAGGUUUUCGGAUCGUAAAGCUCUGUUGUAAGAGAAGAACGAGUGUGAGAGUGGAAAGUUCACACUGUGACGGUAUCUUACCAGAAAGGGACGGCUAACUACGUG